ACGGUGCAUAGACUGUUUUUUUUUUCUCGUUAGUUUUCAUGGUCAAUAUGAGAGAUCGUGUGGCAGAUCUUAAAAUAAAUCAAUAUUGAUUUUUUUAAUAGAGCGUUAAAGUUUUGCGAAGCCAGGGGGCGGGACUACUUGAUUGACAGGCCGGUCCGGAAUGAUUGACAGGUCCUAUGGUGGAGGCAGCAGAGACUCUGCUCUCCUGGUUUGGAUUAAUUCUGUCAAGAGACACUGAAAGACUCCGACAGCUGAGUGAGAGUAGCAGUUCCUCCUGAAGGUCAGAGAUUGCAGCAUCUGAGGGCCUCUUCAAAAGAAGACGUAGUUGAUGAAGGCGUUCUGGAGCAGGACCAGAAAGACCACAACCAAGCAGCCAUGAGAUGUUAGGCAGCGUCUCCCUCAGGUCCCUCUCUAUCUCCCCACACAUCCACCAACCACUGGAACACAUCUCCAAAGUUCUGCCGGGCCAGCUCAGCUUCCCCUCAGAAGAAGUGCUGCCACCUGCCAGAUGAAGGAGCCUUUUGAGAGGCAGCUGGCAUCGUGAUUGGACUGUACUUUGGUCUGUUCCAAUCCAGCUUCAGCUCCAGAGACGGCAGGCGGGACGAGUCAACAGAGGCCGGAUGGACGAAGACAUGCAGCUGAGUACAAUCCAGAAAACAACAGAGGAGGAGUGCAGGGCCCAGGGCCAGAACAACCAGAGUAGCAUCGUAUGUCUCUUAGAAAACAUCAUAGUAUAGCCUUUGGUAUGAAAAAACGCCAUCAUAUACAUCGUAUAUUGUACAAAUAACAAGUGAAAGCAAAGAGACAUACAUUGUAGAAUUGUAGUAAUUGUGGACUGACUGAUGUACUGAUUAUCAGUAUUUUAUUUUUUACUGAUCUACAGUAAUAAAUACAUUUAAAAAUGG